rnacentral:rRNA from 1 species
UGGGGAAUAUUGGGCAAUGGAGGAAACUCUGACCCAGCNACGCCGCGUGCGGGAUGAAGGCCUUCGGGUUGUAAACCGCUUUCANUAGGGAAGAAGCGAAAGNGACGGNACCUACAAAAGAAGCACCGGNUAACUAUGUG